UACGUAGGGACCAAGCGUUGUUCGGAUUUACUGGGCGUAAAGGGCGCGUAGGCGGCGCGGCAAGUCACUUGUGAAAUCUCUGAGCUUAACUCAGAACGGCCAAGUGAUACUGCAGUGCUAGAGUGUGGAAGGGGCAAUCGGAAUUCUUGGUGUAGCGGUGAAAUGCGUAGAUAUCAAGAGGAACACCUGAGGUGAAGACGGGUUGCUGGGCCAACACUGACGCUGAGGCGCGAAAGCCAGGGGAGCAAACGGG
rnacentral:rRNA from 1 species